GCUUCGGUAGCUCAGUAGGUAGAGCAGGGGACUGAAAAUCCCCGUGUCGGUGGUUCGAUUCCGCCCCGAAGCACCA
rnacentral:tRNA from 3 species